rnacentral:rRNA from 1 species
CCCUUAGAUGUUCUGGGCCGCACGCGCGCUACACUGACGGAGUCAACGAGUUGUCCUGCAUCGGAAGGUGUGGGUAAUCUUUUGAAACUUCGUCGUGCUGGGGAUAGAUCUUUGCAAUUUUCGAUCUUGAACGAGGAAUUCCUAGUAAGCGUGAUUCAUCAGGUCGCGUUGAUUACGUCCCUGCCCUUUGUACACACCGCCCGUCGCUACUACCGAUUGAAUGGUUUAGUGAGGCCUCGGGACUGGCGCGCUCGAGUAGCAAUACACCUGCGCGCCGGGAACUUGGUCAAACUUGAUCAUUUAGAGGAAGUAAAAGUCGUAACA